rfam:Schistosoma rodhaini strain Burundi genome assembly, scaffold: SROB_scaffold0001675
GCACUACUGAGUAGUCUCACAACAGGACGAAACGGUCGUCCAGUGC